UAGAAGACGCUUUUACCCAAAGCGACUUACAAUUUUUUUAUUUUUAUUUUUUACCUAUAGGGCAUGUUGUGAUCUGUGGGGGAAACCGGAGUACCCGGAGAAAACCCACGCAUGCAUGGGGAGAACACGCAACUCCACGCAGAAAGGCCGCAGCCGAGUUUCGAACCUGCGACCUUCGUGCUGCGAGGCAACAGUGCUAACCACUGCGCCACCAUGCAGCCCAUGGUGGCGCAGCCCAUAAAUCAGCCAUCGCUACUGGCUAAGAGGUACCCUAGAAUGUUAGCUGGUACCAUAUGAUGUCACAAUGUUGUUGUGAGCUUGUGUGUGUGUGUGUGUGUGUGUGUGUGUGUGUGUGUGUGUGUGUGUGUGUGUUAGCAGCUCCGCCCUCUCGGUCUGCUAGGCAACAGCAUUUGUUGCAUUUUUCAAACAGGAAGUGGGAGUGGAGUAAUACUCUGGUAGGGGGUGACUUGCUCUUGUCAAAUGUGGAGAACAAAUUAGUUUAAACUUUAUUUUUCAUUCUUAUUAACAACGUUCUAACAUGGUAUAGUGUGAGGGAUCAAGCCAAAUGAGUGGAGGAACACAGGCAAUUUCCAAAAAUAGACUCUUUAAUUUCCUUUUUGUUUUAAAAUCUCCUCACAAAAAAGCACAAGCUCAUAAAAGAGGUCAAACAAACAAACUGAAACUCAGUAAACUUCUAACUUAACAUACUGACUGACUGAAACCAUAACCGACCUAACAAACAAAGACACACAAGGGUAUAUAUACACACUGGCUGAUCAGACCAUAUGAACAAUAGGGUUUACUAGACAAACAUUUACUAACUAAAACUAAAACCACAAAUCAGUACAGUCAGAUUGUUAAUAAAUCUAAACAUCCUAACCCAUAAACCUAACCAUUUCACUUCAAACUUAAAUUAAUUAACAAAAGACAAAAUAAUAAACUAAAGGAAGUUCUUCAGUCCCCUCUUCAGGGAGCUAUUGGUUUGGCCCCAUCAGCUCCUCCUGUAUUUAGCUGACAGAACCCCUUCACCACUGUUUGCCUGUCCCAUCUCAGGAAGCAGGAAGUGGAGAACCUCAGCACCGGUAAGAGAAAACAAAUCAUCUUAAAUUGAACAAAUGAAAGGCAUAAAAUACAGCAGUUAACUAAAUGUGCGUGCUUACAAUUAGAACUAAUGCAUUUAAGCCAUCUAAACAAUAAAUCCAAAGAAAUAUAAACAUACAAACUGCAAUCAUAAAAGUGCAAGAGUGUACUUAACGUUCACCGUUGUGUGGACAUGGAUGUGGCCAUCACAUAUAGCUAUGAAUAUAUUGUGGAGACAAAAAAGAUGAAAAAAAGAAUAAAUAAUAGAAGAGUUCACUCACAUUUGUCUAAAAACCUCCACCAUUAACACGUUUCAGACCAAAAGCAACUAUAGGACCAUCCGGUUGUUUUUGUUAUUGAACUGCCGCAGUUCUGCUCUUCCUUGGGUCUUCCACUUAUUACACACUCCGGUAUUUAACAACAGAACACCACUGGUGUGAGAAGUUCUCAGCUUAAUAAUAUCAGAGAAGGAGAAACAGUCGGCUGCUACCACAAACUACCAGAGUCUCAAAAACACCAUUUGAAGUUAUGGACAGCAAAAGUUGUUUAGACCAAGAAAACGGCGAUUGGCUUUUAGCCCUAUCUCGUUUCCUCCGGUAAUGUGGGUUUCUGGUUCUGGUGGACACAGAUCCAAGGACGAUCCCCAAUGGGAGGGGUCAAUGUUCCGUGACGGUGUUUGCGUUCUAAAGCUGGUUUGCAGAUUUGCUAUAACAUCUUUAAUAGAGGAGGUAGAGGUUGUCCAACAAUCGGAACGUUGCUAGGUCAAUUCGGAGUUCUGCUGUUGUGUCAUUGAGCAAGGCACUUCACUCCCCUUGCCUGCUGGUGGUGGUCGGAGGGACCGGUGGUGCCUGUGCUCGGUAGCCAUGCCUCUGUCAGUGUGCCCCAGCGCGGCUGUGGCUACAGUGUAGCUCAUCACCAUCAGUGUGUGAACGUGUGUGUGAACGAAUGAAUGCUUCACUGUAGUAUAAAGUGCUUUGGAGUCCUCUGACUCAGAAAGGUUCUGUAGUACAUGUGCAGGUCCUUUAUCAUUUAUCAGUGAAACACGUAGUGAACUAAGAUCAUUUUGGGUUUUUAAACGUAUUUUUUUACAUCUUAAACAUUGAGUUGCACAUAAGUUCAUAAUUUCAUUUACCGGUAAGUGAAGCUGUGUUGCAUCAGUGAAAACGUUUUUGACAGAUUGUGAAAGUGGCUCAUUUUAAUAUGUGAAGGAAUCAUGCAAAAUACAUUAUUUUCUUUCCCCUAAGUGACAAACGGGAAAAAAGAGAACUACACUUUAACUUCUUUACUCUUCUAAAUCAAAUUUUAUGAGUAAAAGUGCAAAAAUUCCUGGUUUUGACCCCCACCUGACUUCAAAUCGGUUUCCUGUGCCUCAGCUCCAUCUCCUUCUUGAUUUCCAGCUGUUUUAUAAGGAAUGUCAGCUCCGGCGCUGUGCAUUUUCCCUCCUGGCCUCCUACAUGUUGUUGCAGUUGGAAGCCCUGGAGAGAAACAAUCACUGGAGCAACACCAAAUGCCCAGGAAGAGGUGAAUGGAGACUGGAUGUGGCAGUAAUGGGACAGAGCUGAUACUGUUGUGUCCUAUUGUGUGUACUACCCCCCCGUCCCUCCGGAUUGUACACCGUGUACCUUACAUGCAGUGGGGCUGUGUGAGGUCAGCAGGUGGACUUUGAUCUGACUUUUUCGGGUCAACAAAAAGCAUUUAUUUAAAUUAAAGUGUUAAAAAUCAAGUUAACAGGUAAAACAAUCUAGAACCUAGUUUAAAAUGUUGUUAAACAUAAUCUCUUGAUGUAUAGAUUUUUUUGCUUUGAAGAUGAACAAAAUGUAAAAGAAAUGUUCUGCUUUUAAAUUAUUUUUCAGUCACAUUCAUUUUAGAUUUCAUUAGCAUUUUUACUCCUUGUUUGACUCAGGAUCUGGUCUGUUUGGACCACCUGCGUUGGGCUAGGCAUUAAAUUACCUGGAAAUCCCCUUUUUUUACGGCUUCCCCUGUUUCUUAUCUCUAACAGGAAACGCAAAAAGAGACAAUAUCCAAUGAGAAAGCAGUAUUUUGAAAAUGGUGUUGGGUGUCUAUUUCAUCCUGGGCCUCCAUAUUCUCUUGGUUUUCCUCAAGCAAGAAGCUGAACGACUUCAGGGAAUUCUUGAUGACCCUGGGAGUCCGUUUCACUGGAUUGACCUCUGACCUUUUCCGCAUUAGCUGUUAAGCUUGUUGAGAAGGUAAACACUAAACGCCAACAGUUGGGUAAAUGUGCUUUGAAGUUAUUUUGUUUUUUAAGCAGAAAUGGAACUUUUGUAUUCUACGGCGUUAGAAGAUUAAACUGAAAAGGGAAAGGGAGUUUGGUAGCUGGAUGUUUCCUUUAAGAAUUUAGAGAAACUUCAGCUUUUCCCUCUGAAAACUCAGCAGAUCUUCAACUUUGUGGCGUUUGUUUAUUCUCUCCGGGAAAACUUUCACCUUAACUUUUUUGAACGCCGUGGAUUCAACCUCAGGCGUUUGGUACAAAGAUAUUAAUGAGCCCCCGCUGACCCAAAUGGACUCGUGACCCCUGCCCUGAGCCGGAGCAGAACCUUUAUUAUAACAAGCAGAUCAGUUCCAUGUGGCCAUUUCAAGGGAAAGGACUUCUAAAGUGAUUUAAUUAUAAGUUCAUCUACACCUAUGAGUUAUAAAGUUCACUCAGGUCAGCUAACUAAGUUUGACUAGGUGUUGCCAUACUGCCCUCCAUAACUCCCAUUAACAUUACCAGUCUCUGAAGUGGGUCCUGUUGUUUACACAGCUGCAAACGUACCCAGGAUGCACCUUGCUGCCGCCCACAAUAACCCAGCAGCUGGAGGGUGAGGCAUCAAUCUUUCUAACAUCUAACUUCCUGUCAGGGAUUUUCUAAUUAAAACAUUUUAGAUAAAAAAUAAAAGCUCCAGUUUUCAGCAGCAGGCUUAGGUUUAAACAGCUAAUCUCCCAUUUUUCUUAGAUUUUAUUUUAUUUUUUUUUUACUUUUUGCUUUGCUCUAUUACUGUAAGCAGGCUGUGGUUACUUUUCAGGUUUUAAUUCAAUGAAAUAAGCUAAAUAAAAAAGGUCUUACCUCUAAACUGUCUAAAAUGCCUUAAUUAAAGGCAUUGGUAUGGGUCAAACCACUGGUUCUCCAUGUCUUGCGUUAGUCUAAUGAAUGAAAUUUGUCUUUUGACCUAAAUCACAGUUUUUAAAAGGUAAAAUUAUUAACAGGGCGAUGAAAUUUGAAGAAUUACACGUUAUUUUGUAUUUUUCCUUUAUGUCUUGCAAAAUAUGAACAAUUGAAAAUUUUCUGUAAAAGUACAUUUCUAAUGAUGCAAUGUGGCAGGGGUGAGUAAUUGUGUCUACCACAUGCCAAAUGUUGAUGGCAUCAACACGGCUGACACAUCUGCCCUUCAAUACUUAUCGUGACCAGAGGGGGGCAGUGGGGUCAUUACUCACUGCUUCACACACAGUUCUUCUGUAAAGAAAAGUCUCCAAAAUUCUCCCACAAAGCCAAUCAUCUGAAACAAACCCGGACAAGUCGGCCAAACCCCGUUCCUUUGUCGACGACAGAUCUGAGGUGCUGGCAGGAUCCGGCUCUUUGCUCUGGCGUCAUUAUUUAGGCGUCAGAGAGGCACUGCCCUCUAGGCACAAGCUUUUGUUUGGGCCUUCACCUUCUGCUCCAGCUUUGGCUCGGAGAGUCAGACUUGUGCGAUUGUGCAGUGAGGGACAACGGUAGUGGCAGGGGCAGGAGUUCAGAGAUCUGUAGAUCAGCUGAGGGGAUGGAUGGAGCUAAGAUGUGCAGAUCAGAGGAUGAGCAUCCCUCUGUGUAACAGGUGUUACAGGAAUUUCCCAAAGAGCCAACAGAGGAGACUUCUUCACGCUGCAGUUUCUACUUAAUCCAUCUGGAAAAAUAUGAGAUUAGGCUCUUAAUCUGCUUAUGUUACAGCAGACAUUUACAAAAUCCUGAGGGCUGCAUCCAGUUUGUGUCAUUAAGCAUGUGCAAAAGCAGAGGUUACACUAAAUGGAAUGCAGCCUAUUAGCAGCAUCAAGAGUUGCCUUACAACACCUGAUGGUCUACCUCUCCUUAUAAUAAUUUAUUGCAUCAUAUAAUUUGGUAUUGAUUUUUGCACAACACGAGAGGACAGACAAGAAACAACUCUAAACAUAAAAACACGGCAGUUCCUUAAUUCAAGACCCCUAAACUUAAGUCUGUUUAAACCAGACUGGGUUUUGUUUGAUCUAAUCACAGUUUUCAUCCAAAAUCUAAUAACAUUUUCUUUUGAAUGGCUUGAUUAUAAAAAAACAUUCUUUCUCAUUAACUCGCUGGUUCUUCUCUGAAAACGAUUACUGUGAAUGUUUUGAUGCAUUUUGUUACUAAAUAAACAACUAGCUUUAUUUGUUUGUUUCUGAAUGACUAAUUAAGGUGGAGAAGUCUCCAGUAUUAUCUUACUGUUUUUGAUAGUAAGUAAAAGUCUUAAUUUUGAUGCUAGAAGGACAUCUCAGAGGAUCUGACGUCACUUCCUGUUUGUUAAUCCCGUUCUUCCCUAAACAUCCAGGAUGUCCUUGCUUAAUUUGUUGUGCUUCCAUCGCCUCCUGUUUAGGUUUCCUUUGUGUGUGUGUGUGUGUGUGUGUGUGUGUGUGUGUGUGUGUGUGUGCGUGUGUGUGUCUAAUUCCCAGUAACAAGCUGACACAAAGCGAGCUUAUCAGUCAGGGACUUUAAACGUGUUUAUUUACAGAUCAUUAGAAGCCUGAGUGAAAGCCUCCCACCGGUGUUCAAACCCACAUCGGGUCCCUCGGUGCAGCGCCGAGGCCUCGCUCCUGCUGCCAUGUUUGAUGGGUGUCGACAGCCACUUAACUAGACUUCAAAGAGAAACGUUACAGAUGUGUGACUGCUCACAGGGUCCUAAUCUGCUCAGAGGAGGGGGCAUCCAGUACGGAUCUGUUUCAUCCAGCCGCGCAGAGGCAGGGCUUUUCCUGAUAGUCCUGCUGUAAUACAGUGCAUUAGUGAGAUAAAGGCCUCUCCUCACAGCUGGCUCCUGCUGACAGACUCUUGGAAAGUCUGAUCCUCUUCCUCCUCACUGCUGUAACUCCUCUACAGGUCUCUGUCUUUGCAGCCUCACGCUUUCCUGAGCUUCUUCUCCUUUUUUUCAUCCUCAAAACUCUUUAAUCAUUUGGUUCAUAGCUCUGCUCACCUCAGCUGCAAAGCUUCGGCCACUUCUCCAGAGUUUCCCAGACAAAAUAAAAGAAUUAUCAUCGGAAGGGUUUGUUCUCUAUUUGGCUGCUUGGACUCACAUUCAGAUUUCUUUUAUUUGAGCUUUAAAACUACAAAAUUGUCCUUGACAUUUACAUUUUAUUCCUCCUAUGCUAGAUGAUGUUUUUCUCUGUUUUUGUCUCCUUAUUUCCAACAUGCCCAUCAUUAGACAGCAAGCUGUAAUUCUUACUCUCAGCCUGAUGAAUCGGCUGCUGAUUUUCUUUUGUCGUGACACGAAGACUGCAGCUUUCCAAAAGCCUUGCUUCUCUCUAGAACAUCCACCACAUCUGGGAGCUCCAUGAAAGAAGCAGCAGACACCUACUGAAAGUGUUGAUGUCUUCUUUGGUGGGUUCUGCUGUCAGAGAGACGGAUCCUCUUGUCCUGAAGAACGAGCUGCUGAGCUCACUGAAGCACCGAAGGUCUCGCGGAUCCCUGACUGGUUAAACUUCUCACACCGUCUUCUGUUACAAUGAUUUCUGGCGUUUAGAAAAUAAAUGUAUGACAAAUUUGGUUUUGCACAACUCACUCACACUUGUGUUGUCAUCUAAUAAGGUUUUAACCAGAAACAGUCUUAUUUAAAAUCAAUUAGCUACUAUUUUCCACUAUUGUUAGGCUGGAAGCACAAUCAACAGGGUUAGAGAUGCAUCUGCAGCCACGUGUUUUCCUCCCAGCCAUUAAAAAGUAGUUUUAAAUGAAUUUAGAUCAGCUCUUGCUCCAUCUGACAGCAGGCAGAGAGAACAGGCUCAAGAUUACAUCCUGGAAACAGUAACAUCUCCUACUUUGCAGAUCUGAAGGUUAGCAGGAGCAAAGCUCUGAAGCUCUAGCAUACUUAAGUGUAUAAGGACAAAAAGUAUAGCCUCUAUGUAUGCAUGCAGACAACAGAAGCUCUCAAAUAAUAAAUCACAUCCUUGCAUUGAUGAGUGAAUUAUAAAAACACUUAUUUUUAUACAAUUAUGCUUAUUUGGCCUAAAUAUGAUGUGUAACCUCAUUGUUUUCUACAUUCUGUUUCCAGCCUGGCUGCCCUCUAAAAUAUCAAACUGAUAAAUGUCGUUCAUGCUGCUCCAAAGGUUAAAUGCUUUACAUCAUCAGUGUAAUAAUCAAUACACAUUAUUGGUCAUUGAUCACCAAACGUCCAGCCAGAAGCCGCUCACGUGAGCUGUUAGGAACAACUCAGGGCUACAUGAACCACGUCCCUCUGAGGCACCGUUAGCAACUCCCCCACAGAAAACCUCAUCCAGGCUCAUGUUGUUGGUGGAGAUAAAACAUCCAGAGUGCACGUCAGCGGUAGAGUCACGUUGUUAUCCAAUCCGAGGCAAGAUGUCCAAAUAUCAGGAAAAAAGACUAAAACCCGCCGCCUGAACCUCAGCUGGUGUGGGUAACUGGUGGAAAUGGUGCGCGGGUUUAUUUACAAAGCAUUCAUUCCUACUAGAGACCACAGCAAAUGUGUUGAUUAAACAAGUGAUCCACACCUUUAAAUUGAUCCUCAGACCUCAUGUAGCUCGUCAAGACUUCAUUACAUGAACUGUGGGUCAAACUGAGCUAAAAAUAAACUUCAGUCCAUCAAAGCAGAGCAGUUACUCCUGGACAGUGUCAUGGUCUGCAUCCUACGUCUCCCUCAUGUGCCUCCUUGUGUUCCUCAUGUGUCUCCUUGUGUUCCUCAUGUGUCUCCUUGUGUUCCUCAUGUGUCUCCUUGUGUUCCUCAUGUGUCUCCUUGUGUUCCUCAUGUGUCUCCUUGUGUUCCUCAUGUGUCUCCUUGUGUUCCUCAUGUGUCUCCUUGUGUUCCUCAUGUGUCUCCUUGUGUUCUCCAUCCCUCUCUAGGUUUCCCUCGUGUGUCUCUUUGGGUGUGUCCGAAUCCACAGGAAGGAUGCUUAUGAGCACGGGUCCUCGCCGGUCUAGCAAGGCCGGGUCAUUGAAGACCACUAAAACGGAACCCAGCGGCUCUGAAUUCGGACAGUCUAGCCUUCACCUCUACGGUGGCCCGUAGGUCCCGUCACAGCCGUGGCGGCAGCUACACGCAAAGGAAAAUGCUAAAGCUAGCGAAAAUGGAGCAGGAAUAUUAAGGAGCUAGAGCAGCUUCACGUCCAUCAGCAGCGUUUGUUCACAACCGUUUUCAGGUCAGCAAGCACUGUGCUGCACAUCUGCCUCUGUGCUGGUGAAGUUGUGGGUCUGCAGGAUGAGCGUGAGGAAGAUGUGUGUGGAGGAGGUCAGUGGUGCUCUGUCCUGCAGGAGGUACCAGCAGACCACCACUACUGUUAACAGGCAAGUCAUCCACAGAGACGUAACAGCCGUCGUCUGAGCCUCCUCUGUUUAUUGGUCUCACCUGUGCACAACUCCCUAAUCAUCCAGCCCUUGUGUGCAUAACCCUGUCUGCGUCUCAAUGUGGUUGUUGGUUCAUUGAUCGUG